rnacentral:rRNA from 1 species
CAGCCGCCGCGUAAUACGUAGGGUGCAAGCGUUAAUCGGAAUUACUGGGCGUAAAGCGUGCGCAGGCGGUUAUAUAAGACAGAUGUGAAAUCCCCGGGCUCAACCUGGGAACUGCAUUUGUGACUGUAUAGCUAGAGUACGGCAGAGGGGGAUGGAAUUCCGCGUGUAGCAGUGAAAUGCGUAGAUAUGCGGAGGAACACCGAUGGCGAAGGCAAUCCCCUGGGCCUGUACUGACGCUCAUGCACGAAAGCGUGGGGAGCAAACAGGAUUAGAUACCCGCGUAGUCCCUGUCUCUUAUACC